GCCCAGCUCAGACGGGGCAGGGAGAGGACAGAAUCCCACAGCAUUCCAGAUGCCCGCAUCCCACCUGCCUCCCCUAAGGUUGCAGGACUCUGCUGCCCAGGAGCGGGACACAGUCACUGUCAAGAAUACCUGUGUACCUACAGAGGAGCAAAACGUCAGGCCAUGUGUCUGAGAGUCUAAAGGGAUGGAAGUCUGGGCGUGGGGUCACCUCUGCCCGGCCAGCUGUGUCCCUGGCUCCCAGGUGGGAUCUUCUGAGAGAGAGGAGACUCAGGUUGGCUUCUCCAGCCAACAGCCAAUCGAAGACGUCAACCAACUGCUCUGCUCACUUGAGCUGUGCUCACCUGGCAAGGGAUGCAGACAGUGGCUCCCAAACACUGGGAUGGACGAUGAUAAAGUGGUCCCUCGUCCCCUUGUGAACAGAAGACAAAGAGAUGUGAUGAAUGUUCCAGCUUGUUAAAUU
rnacentral:lncRNA from 1 species